CGGACGGGUGAGGAAUACAUCGGAAUCUACUCUGUCGUGGGGGAUAACGUAGGGAAACUUACGCUAAUACCGCAUACGACCUACGGGUGAAAGCAGGGGACCUUCGGGCCUUGCGCUAUCAGAUGAGCCUAGGUCGGAUUAGCUAGUUGGUGAGGUAAUGGCUCACCAAGGCGACGAUCCGUAACUGGUCUGAGAGGAUGAUCAGUCACACUGGAACUGAGACACGGUCCAGACUCCUACGGGAGGCAGCAGCC
rnacentral:rRNA from 1 species